rnacentral:rRNA from 1 species
AUUUUUAAGAAAAAAAGUGUAUGAUUGGUAGUUUAGCUGGGGCGGCUUCCUCCAAAAGAGUAACGGAGGAGUACAAAGACAAUUUCAAUUUAAUGUCAAUUAAAUUUGUGAGCGUAAUGGUAUAAAAUUGUUUAACUGUAAGAUUUACAAAUCAAACAGAGAUAAUAGUUCGGUCAUAGUGAUCCAGUAACACAGAAUGGAAUGGUUAUUGCUUAACGGAUAAAAGGUACGCCGGGGAUAACAGGCUAAUUGUCCUUGAGAGGCCAUAUCGACGGGAUAGUUUGGCACCUCGAUGUCGACUUAUCACAUCCUGGAGUAGUAGGGGAUUCCAAGGGUUCGGCUGUUCGCCGAUUAAAGUGGUACAUGAGUUGGGUUUAGAACGUCGUGAGACAGUUUGGUCUCUAUCUACCGUAAAUGAUAGAAAAUUGAUAAAAAUCUGAUUUUCGUACGAGAGGAG